rnacentral:ncRNA from 1 species
GGAUAAUCCCGGGUGACCGGGGAAAGGUCGCUCCCGGCUGGUGGGGGCGGCCCCUCUUGCGCGGUGCAGAAAACCUGCACGGGCGGGGAGGCAGGAUUCACCAGCUCCUCUGGCACGGUCGCACGUGCCGGUACUGCGAACAAGGAGCCUGGCGGUUAGGAGCGUCCCAGAAGCCGCUCCGAGCCGAGUCAAGUAGUCCGGGUGGGCUUCGGCCCCGGACGAAUCGCAGUUACCCUGAGGGUUCACGGUUGCUACUGCGUACCAGCACGGUGCGAGUGGACCUGGCGGCUGCGGUGACGUAAAGCCGCCCAAACAAACCCCCCGGAAGGGGGACAAAAAGGGCGCUCGUACCGGGGAGGACACGGGACCGGGCAAUUCCCGUGAAAACCUUCCGGAGAGGUGGCGAUGCCGAAAAGGGCACCGCUGCCUUGCGAGGGAAAGGCAACCUGAGAGGUAAGAGGCGAGACCCGUGGCACCGGGUCAACGCACCACCACAAGUGGUGGCUGCCCCGGCGCUAAGUGGUCAAGACGCGAUGCCUCGCAAGCGUGUCUUGGCCUGGUUCGCAGGCUGGUGGCGCAACCACCCGCCGAAGCGAGCUGAAAAGCCUCACUCAACAAUCCCGGCGCCGCAAGGCCCGGGACGGCCCUGCUACGAGGCCGAUAACUCCGCCUUGCCGCGGGGAAUAGCGUCGGGAAGCCGGCAGCCCUCAGUGGCGCCUAAUGCCGGCACGGGAAAGAGAGCGUGGCGCACUCC